GAUGAACGCUAGCGGGAGGCCUAACACAUGCAAGCCGAGCGGUAUUGUUUCUUCGGAAAUGAGAGAGCGGCGUACGGGUGCGGAACACGUGUGCAACCUGCCUUUAUCUGGGGGAUAGCCUUUCGAAAGGAAGAUUAAUACUCCAUAAUAUAUUGAACGGCAUCGUUUAAUAUUGAAAGCUCCGGCGGAUAGAGAUGGGCACGCGCAAGAUUAGCUAGUUGGUGAGGUAACGGCUCACCAAGGCGAUGAUCUUUAGGGGGCCUGAGAGGGUGAUCCCCCACACUGGUACUGAGACACGGACCAGACUCCUACGGGAGGCAGCAGUGAGGAAUAUUGGUCAAUGGGUGCAAGCCUGAACCAGCCAUCCCGCGUGAAGGACGACUGCCCUAUGGGUUGUAAACUUCUUUUGUAUAGGGAUAAACCUACCCUCGUGAGGGUAGCUGAAGGUACUAUACGAAUAAGCACCGGCUAACUCCGUGCCAGCAGCCGCGGUAAU
rnacentral:rRNA from 1 species